UACGUAGGGGGCGAGCGUUAUCCAGAUUUACUGGGCGUAAAGCGCGUGUAGGCGGCUGGUUAGGUGUGAUGUGAAAUCCUCGGGCUCAACCCGAGAACUGCAUUGCAAACCGGCCUGGCUAGAGUGCAGGAGAGGGAAGCGGAAUUCCAGGUGUAGCGGUGAAAUGCGUAGAUAUCAAGAGGAACACCUGAGGUGAAGACGGGUUGCUGGGCCGACACUGACGCUGAAGCGCGAAAGCCAGGGGAGCAAACGGG
rnacentral:rRNA from 1 species